AAUGGGUGAGUAACACGUACUUAACAUACCUCUUAGAUUGGGAUAACGGUGAGAAAUUAUCGCUAAUACCGGAUACUUAUAUAAGUCGCAUGACUUAUAUAUAAAAGAAGCCUUAAAGCUUCACUAAGAGAUUGGGGUGCGGAACAUUAGCUAGUUGGUAAGGUAAUGGCUUACCAAGGCAAUGAUGUUUAGCGGGGUUGAGAGACUGAUCCGCCACACUGGGACUGAGAUACGGCCCAGACUCCUACGGGAGGCAGCAGUAGGGAAUUUUCCACAAUGGACGAAAGUCUGAUGGAGCGACACAGCGUGCAGGAUGACGGCCUUCGGGUUGUAAACUGCUGUUAUAAGGGAAGAAAAAGCAUUAGAGGAAAUGCUAGUGCCUUGACGGUACCUUGUYAGAAAGCAACGGCUAACUAUGUGCCAGCAGCCGCGGUAAUACAUAGGUUGCAAGCGUUAUCCGGAAUUAUUGGGCGUAAAGCGUCUGUAGGUUGUAUGUUAAGUCUGGCGUGAAAACUUGGGGCUCAACCCCAAAUUGCGUUGGAUACUGGCAUGCUAGAAUUGUGUAGAGGUUAGCGGAAUUCCUAGUGAAGCGGUGAAAUGCGUAGAUAUUAGGAAGAACACCAAUUUGGCGAAGGCAGCUAACUGGGCACAUAUUGACACUGAGAGACGAAAGCGUGGGGAGCAAACAGGAUUAGAUACCCUGGUAGUCCACGCUGUAAACGAUGAUGAUUAGCUGAUAGAGAGGUCUAUCGGCGCAGCUAACGCAUUAAAUCAUCCGCCUGAGUAGUAUGCUCGCAAGAGUGAAACUUAAAGGAAUUGACGGGGAUCCGCACAAGCGGUGGAGCAUGUGGUUUAAUUUGAAGAUACGCGUAGAACCUUACCCACUCUUGACAUCUUCUGCAAAGCUAUAGAGAUAUAGCAGAGGUUAACAGAAUGACAGAUGGUGCA
rnacentral:rRNA from 1 species